GGCCUUACCCAGUCGAAGGCCUUUGCCACAGCGUGGGUGGGCCUUACCCAAUCAGUCGAAGGCUUUUUGCCACAGCGUGGGUGGGCCUUACGCAAUCAGUUGAAGGCUUUUUGCCACAGCGUGGGUGGGCCUUACCCAGUCAAAGGCCUUUGCCACAGCGUGGGUGGGCCUUACCCAAUCAGUCAAAGGCCUUUGACACAGCGUGGGUGGGCCUUGCCCAAUCAGUCGAAGUCCUUCGCCACAGUGUGGGUGGGCCUUACCCAAUCAGUCGAAGUCCUUUGCCACAGUGUGGGUGGGCCUUACCCAAUCAGUCGAAGGACUUCGACACAGCGUGGGUGGGCCUUACCCAAUCAGUCGAAGGCCACAAGAGCAGAAAUCUAAGAUCUCUUAAGGAAGAGAGGAUUCUGACCCAGAUGGAGACUCAAGCUGCAGCACCAGCUCCUGCUGGGAUCUCCAGCCUGCUGACCUGGACUUCAGAUUUUAGACUUAGCUCCCUCAGUCACAUGAGUCAGUUCAUUAAAAUCAGUGUCUGUCAUCUCCCUGUGUCUCAGUGUGUCUCUCCAUCUUUCUCUCUCUGUUUGUUUCUCUAAAUAUGUAUAAUCUCACUCUUGCUCGCACUGUCUGUACACACACAUCCUGCUGGUUCUGCCUCUCUGGGAGCCCUGAUGGCUGCACAGUGCGAGGACUUCAGGGCCCCGUCACUUUGGCUGUCGUUUACCCCCCAGUUUAUGGUGGCCCCUGUAUUUGCGGGCUCCACAUCUGCAGAUUCAACCAUAAAAAUAACAAUACAACAAUAAAAAAUAAACAAAAGACGAUGUAGUAUAACAGUGACAGACACAGCAUUUCCGUCGUACCAGGAAUCGUAAGUAAUCUAGAGGUGAUUUAAAGUAUACAGGAGGGGCCGGGCACAGUGGCUCACGUCUGUAAUCCCAGCAAUACGGGAGGCCAAAGCGGGUGGAUCACCGGAGGUCAGGAGUUCAAUACCAGCCUGGCCAACAUGGUGACACCCCAUCUCUACUAAAAAUACAAAAAUUAGCCAGGCAUGGUGGCGUGUGCCUGUAAUCCCAGCUGCUUGGGAGGCUGAGGCAGGAGAAUUGCUUGAAUCUGGGAGGCGGAGGUUGCAGUGAGGCGAGGUUGUGCCACUUCACUCCAGCCUGGGCAAAAGAGCGAAACUCCGUCUCAAGAAAGAAAAGUAUACAGGAGGAUGUGUGUAGUUUAUAUGCAAAUCCUAUGCCAUUUCCUGUCAGAGACUCGAGCAUCUCAGGAUUUUGAUAUCCGAGGGGUCCUGUAUCCAGUCCCCCAGGGACACUGAGGGGCACCUGCAUGCUGUUCGGUGGUGUAUUCUGGUUCUGCCUUGUUCAGUCACACAUAACCCUGUCACCAUGUCACCAUCCUGAUUCUGCGUAGCCAGUUUGCACACAGCUUCUGCUUGAAUCUCAGCCUCCAGAAUUUUCCCUGGCAUGGAAAAAUAGGUGACGGAACAGCUCAGAUUUUCUUUGUCUGGAAAUGUACUGAUUUAGUUGAUAAAAAUGUCUUUUCCUCAGUGGAUUUCCGUGGUUCUGGGUUGACAGUUGCUUCCCAGCAGCAGGAGGGAGUCUCUGUUCUCUCUUCUGAUGUCUGCUGGUGCGGAGACAGCCUCAGUUCAGGGCAGUUCCCUUCGGGGGAAUGGAGGGAACAGAGGGAAAUAAAUAAUUUCUUUCUUUUUCUUUUCCUUUUUUUUUUUUUUU
rnacentral:lncRNA from 1 species